rnacentral:rRNA from 1 species
AACGAACACUGGCGGCAUGCCUAACACAUGCCAGUCGAACGAGACCUUCGGGUCUAGUGGCGCACGGGUGCGUAACGCGUGGGAACCUGCCCUUAGGUUCGGAAUAACUCCCCGAAAGGGGUGCUAAUACCGGAUAAUGUCUUCGGACCAAAGAUUUAUCGCCUUUGGAUGGGCCCGCGUUGGAUUAGCUAGUUGGUAGGGUAAAAGCCUACCAAGGCGACGAUCCAUAGCUGGUCUGAGAGGAUGAUCAGCCACACUGGGACUGAGACACGGCCCAGACUCCUACGGGAGGCAGCAGUGGGGAAUAUUGGACAAUGGGCAAAAGCCUGAUCCAGCAAUGCCGCGUGAGUGAUGAAGGCCUUAGGGUUGUAAAGCUCUUUUACCCGGGAUGAUAAUGACAGUACCGGGAGAAUAAGCUCCGGCUAACUCCGUG